rnacentral:rRNA from 1 species
AUUGAACGCUGGCGGCAGGCUUAACACAUGCAAGUCGAACGAGUGGCGGACGGGUGAGUAAUGUCUAGGACACUGCCUGGUGGAGGGGGAUAACGACUGGAAACGGGCGCUAAUACCGCAUACUAUCAGAUGUGCCCAGGUGGGAUUAGCUAGUUGGUGGGGUAAAGGCCGACCAAGGCGACGAUCCGUAACUGGUCUGAGAGGAUGACCAGGCACACUGGAACUGAGACACGGUCCAGACUCCUACGGGAGGCAGCAGUGGGGAAUAUUGGACAAUGGGCGAAAGCCUGAUCCAGCCAUGCCGCGUGUAUGAAGAAGGCCUUCGGGUUGUAAAGUACUUGCAGCGAGGAGGCGUUACCCGCAGAAGAAGCACCGGCUAACUCCGUGCCAGCAGCCGCGGUAAUUC